ACCUUGUGGUUCCUAGAGACGGCUGGACCGUGCUGAUCUGUGGGUUUUGAUUGACGGGCAAAUAUUAACGUCUGCGAUUUAUGCGUGGGAGCUACCACUUCAAGUAACUUCCUUAGCCCAGUUGUUGAGACAUUC